UACGGAGGGUGCAAGCGUUAAUCGGAAUUACUGGGCGUAAAGCGCGCGUAGGCGGCUUGGUAAGUCGGAUGUGAAAGCCCUGGGCUCAACCUGGGAACUGCAUUCGAUACUGUCAAGCUAGAGUGUGGGAGAGGGUAGUGGAAUUCCCGGUGUAGCGGUGAAAUGCGUAGAUAUCGGGAGGAACAUCAGUGGCGAAGGCGACUUCCUGGCCUGUUCUUGACGCUGAGGCGCGAAAGCUAGGGUAGCAAACGGG
rnacentral:rRNA from 1 species